rnacentral:rRNA from 1 species
CUACGGGGCGCUGCAGUGAGGAAUAUUGCGCAAUGGGGGAAACCCUGACGCAGCGACGCCGCGUGGAUGAUGAAGGCCUUCGGGUCGUAAAAUCCUGUCAGAUGGGAAGAAAUGUUAUAUCUCUAAUAUAGGUAUGAUUUGACGGUACCAUCAAAGGAAGCACCGGCUAACUCCGUGCCAGCAGCCGCGGUAAUACGGAGGGUGCAAGCGUUGUUCGGAAUUACUGGGCGUAAAGCGCGCGUAGGCGGCUAUUUAAGUCAGAUGUGAAAGUCCACGGCUCAACCGUGGAAGUGCAUUUGAAACUGGAUGGCUUGAGUACUGGAGGGGGUGGUGGAAUUCCCGGUGUAGAGGUGAAAUUCGUAGAUAUCGGGAGGAAUACCGGUGGCGAAGGCGACCACCUGGCCAGAUACUGACGCUGAGGUGCGAAAGCGUGGGGAGCAAACAGGAUUAGAUACCCGCGUAGUC